GAUUGCUUCCAUACCACUGCGAGCUGAACUAACUCACCUGGUCAUCUGUCAAAAGCUAUGUUCGGACACAUAACAACACAUUCAAGCUUAGAUAUAUAGAAAAUAAUGUAAGAAGAUAAAUUAAAAAGAGGGGUGGAACAUGUAACAACAUAACUGACGAAAUUAUGAAUGCAGAAUUUAAUGAAUCAUAACAUCAUAUUCUAACAGUUCAACAACAGAAUCUGAUUCAGACUGAAAUUGAUU